CCCUUAGACGUUCUGGGCCGCACGCGCGCUACACUGACCAGUGCAACAAGCAUCCGUCCUUGGCCGACAGGCCCGGGCAAUCUUUGAACGCUGGUCGUGAUGGGGAUAGACUUUUGCAAUUUUUGGUCUUCAACGAGGAAUUCCUAGUAAACGCAAGUCAUCAACUUGCAUUGAUUACGUCCCUGCCCUUUGUACACACCGCCCGUCGCACCUACCGAUUGAAUGGUCCGGUGAAGCGUUCGGACCGUGGCCUUUGGACGGUUCGCCGUCUGUUGGCUGCGGGAAGUUCGUUAAACCUUAUCAUUUAGAGGAAGGAGAANUCGUANCA
rnacentral:rRNA from 1 species